CUUAAGGGAAAAGUCUACUGUAAAAUUUUCAAAAAAUCAAUUUUUUGUUUAUUAGCUUAAAAAAUACUUUGAACCCUCUAAAAUAAGGUACAUUAGAUGUUAUAGCCGGCUAAAUUUUUCUUUAUUGAAAUUUCGACCUUUUACCGAAGCGCUCCGAAACGCGUACCUGUGGCAAAUUCCUAUCUGUUCGGCGGGUACAGCGUAGUGACUUGCAAUUCAAUUUCUAACAUUUCUAAUACUCCAAGUCGAUCAACAGAUGUCACUAGGUAUAUUUUAUAGUCAGUUAGAAGCGAUUUCAACAGUAAGGACGCCGGUAGUGCGUAAUUUUAAGGGCCAGUGUGUCGAACAGCUGUGAUCGUUUCGGCGUUUCCCGCGUGGCUAACGUAUAUACAUUUUUAUACUUUUAUCAAAAUGAAGCCUGCUUCUUUCGACAGAAAGGGUUCACACGAAACUUCCAGACGACCUUCACGACGUAGGAAAAGACCGCCGCCACCAAAUCGUCAUACGGUGGAGAAUGAAACGGAAUCGACAAGUUCUUCCGCGAAAAAAUUAAGAACGAAAUCGGUGGAAAUGGAAAUUAAUAAUGGCUAUAAAUACCGUUUGAUUGAAUUUUUAUUCUUGUUUCAAACGCUGAGUGAAAUGAUCAUGUGCAAAACGUGCGGUGGAAAUGUGAUUUUUUCGGAAAGUAGUAUCCGUGGACUUGGAUUCAGCUUAGUCGUUAAAUGCAGUAAUUGUGAACCUGGAGCAUUUUCAAUGAAAGCUACUCCAGUAUCCUCAAAAUGAUGGACGUUAUGAACAUCAAAAUUGGACCAAACGCCUUCAAUUUAUGCAACACCGUGGACGAGCGCAGAAUAUCACAAGCAAACGAACGGUCGUUCGACGCUUCAAAAGAAGGGAGAAUCGAAAGAAGAACGGCGCGAUCGGCACUCGAAGAGGAUUUCCUCGAAGAAGAAGGUGUACUAUAUGAAGCAGGAUUGGGCAAUUAAUGAUCACCCAGACGUGAGAUUUCAUGUACACCGUUUGGGCACCUA